rnacentral:rRNA from 1 species
AAUCAACGCUGGCGGCGUGCCUAACACAUGCAAGUCGAACGCGAAAGCCCCUUCGGGGGUAAGUAGAGUGGCGUCCGGGUGAGUAACACGUAGGUAAUCUACCUUCGGGUGGGGAAUAACCAGUCGAAAGAUUGGCUAAUACCGCAUAAUGCAGCGGCACCUAAUGGUGAUUAGUUGUUAAAGCGGGGGAUCGUAAGACCUCGCGCCUGAAGAGGAGCCUGCGGCAGAUUAGCUAGUUGGGAGGUAAUGGCUCACCAAGGCUUCGAUCUGUAGCUGGCCUGAGAGGACGGCCAGCCACACUGGCACUGACACACGGGCCAGACUCCUACGGGAGGCAGCAGUGGGGAAUUUUGGGCAAUGGGCGAAAGCCUGACCCAGCAACGCCGCGUGAGGGAGGAAAUCCUUCGGGAUGUAAACCUCACAAGCAAGGGAGAGAGCUCAGGGCCGAAUAAGCUUUGAGUCCGACGGUACCUUGCGUAGCCACGGCUAACUACGUGCCAGCA